rnacentral:rRNA from 1 species
CCAAUAGCGUAUAUUUAAAUUGUUGCAGUUAAAAAGCUCGUAGUUGGAUCUCGGAGAGGAGUUGUCGGUCGUCCCAAGUGGAUGCUAUCGUCUCUCCUCCCUCUCUGCCGAGAGCUCGUCCUGGCCUUAAUUGGCUGGGCGAAGGUCACGGCGAUGUUACUUUGAAUAAAUUAUAGUGUUCAAAGCAGGCUCUCGCUCUGCAUACACUAGCAUGGAAUAACAGUAUAGGACUUCGGUCCCAUUCUGUUGGUCUCCUUGACCGGAGUAAUGAUUAAUAGGGAUUGUCGGGGGCAUUCGUAUUUCAUUGUUAGAGGUGAAAUUCUUGGAUCAAUGAAAGACGAACUUCUGCGAAAGCAUUUGCCAAGGAUGUUUUCAUUAAUCAAGAACGAAAGUUGGGGGCGCGAAGACGAUUAGAUACCGUCCUAGUCCCAACCGUAAACGUUGCCGACCCCGAAUUGGCGAAACAUCUGACUUGACGUCGCCAGAGCCCGAAGAGAAAUCAGAGUCUUUGGGUUCCGGGGGGAGUAUGGUCGCAAGUCUGAAACUUAAAGGAAUUGACGGAAGGGCACCACCAGGUGUGGAGCGUGCGGCUUAAUUUGACUCAACGCGGGGAAUCUUACCAGGUCCAGACAUAUCAACGAUUGACAGACUGAUAGCUCUUUCUUGAUCAUAUGG